GAUGAACGCUGGCGGCGUGCCUAAUACAUGCAAGUCGAGCGAACAGACGAGGAGCUUGCUCCUCUGACGUUAGCGGCGGACGGGUGAGUAACACGUGGAUAACCUACCUAUAAGACUGGGAUAACUUCGGGAAACCGGAGCUAAUACCGGAUAAUAUAUUGAACCGCAUGGUUCAAUAGUGAAAGACGGUUUUGCUGUCACUUAUAGAUGGAUCCGCGCCGCAUUAGCUAGUUGGUAAGGUAACGGCUUACCAAGGCAACGAUGCGUAGCCGACCUGAGAGGGUGAUCGGCCAGACUGGAACUGAGACACGGUCCAGACUCCUACGGGAGGCAGCAGUAGGGAAUCUUCCGCAAUGGGCGAAAGCUUGACGGAGCAACGCCGCGGGAGUGAUGAAGGUCUUCGGAUCGUAAAACUCUGUUAUUAGGGAAGAACAAAUGUGUAAGUAACUAUGCACGUCUUGACGGUACCUAAUCAGAAAGCCACGGCUAACUACGUG
rnacentral:rRNA from 1 species